AUUAAACGCUGGCGGCAUGCCUUACACAUGCAAGUCGAACGGCAGCACGGGGGCAACCCUGGUGGCGAGUGGCGGACGGGUGAGUAAAGCAUCGGAACGUAUCCUGGAGUGGGGGAUAACGUAGCGAAAGUUACGCUAAUACCGCAUAUUCUGUGAGCAGGAAAGCAGGGGAUCACAAGACCUUGCGCUCUGGGAGCGGCCGAUGUCGGAUUAGCUAGUUGGUGGGUAAAGGCUACCAAGGCGACGAUCCGUAGCGGGUCUGAGAGGAUGAUCCGCCACACUGGGACUGAGACACGGCCCAGACUCCUACGGGAGGCAGCAGUGGGGAAUUUUGGACAAUGGGCGCAAAGCCUGAUCCAGCCAUGCCGCGUGAGUG
rnacentral:rRNA from 1 species